GAGGUUGUGGCUCAGUGGCAGAGCAUGUGCAUAGCAUGCGCAAGGUCCGGGGUUCAAUCCCUGGUACCUCC
rnacentral:tRNA from 1 species